UAGGGAAUCUUCCACAAUGGACGCAAGUCUGAUGGAGCAACGCCGCGUGAGUGAAGAAGGUUUUCGGAUCGUAAAUCUCUGUUGUUGGUGAAGAAGGAUAGAGGCAGUAACUGGUCUUUAUUUGACGGUAAUCAACCAGAAAGUCACGCCUAACUACGUGCCAGCAGCCGCGGUAAUACGUAGGUGGCAAGCGUUGUCCGGAGUUAUUGGGCGUAAAGCGAGCGCAGGUGGAAUGAUAAGUCUGAAGUGAAAGCCCACGGCUCAACCGUGGAACUGCAUCGGAAACUGUCAUUCUUGAGUGCAGAAGUGGAGAGUGGAAUUCCAUGUGUAGCGGUGGAAUGCGUAGAUAUAUGGAAGAACACCAGUGGCGAAGGCGGCUCUCUGGUCUACAACUGACGCUGAGGCUCGAAAGCAUGGGUAGCGAACAGG
rnacentral:rRNA from 1 species